CAGAAAGUUUUUAAUCCAGGUUUUAUCAUUUAAAAGAGCAGGUUGGACAAAUCAGUCCAGGUUCAGCUCUUGUUCAAACAAGA